rnacentral:lncRNA from 1 species
UUUCACAGUUCUCGAGGCUGGACAGUCCAAGAUCAAGGUGCCUGCAUCUGGCGUCUAGUGUGGACCCUAUUCCUGGUUUGCAGCAUUGUUGGUGCUCUGAGGGUGUCAGCCAGGCCACUCAUGCAGACCAUUGCGGCAGCACUGAAAAUGGAAGAAAGAUGGGAUUCUGCUGUCUUUUGUUUUGGCUGAUGAACAGCACCGAGAUGGAGUGGCUCCAGCAGCCAGAACAAGCCACCAUCUCCCCUGGGCUUUCACAGUAGCCUCCUGACUGGUCUUGUUGCUUCCACACUUACACUUCCUGUUCUCUGCAAGGCAGCCAGAGUGACCUUUCACUAAUCCUUGUAUGACCUCUGAAAAUAUGACCUGAAGCAGAUGGAUGCACUCACAUAAGAAACAUCACCUGUGGCCUUCAUCGAAAAUGGGCCUGCUGCUUGAAGAAGUUGGGCUCUUGGAGUUCUCUAGCACAGGGGCCAUGAAAAUCAAUGACUUCCUUGUUUGCUGACGGAGCAGAGGUAGAAUCUCUUGGUGUUUCCACGGAGAAAACACUGACCAUGAAGAGCCAAGAAAGAUGACAUGAUGAAGCCAUCAGGGGAAGCACCAAACAUCCUCAACUCUGCUCACCCAUGGUUUUCUCCCGCCCUCCCAGAGCUCCUCCUGCUGGCCUUCAUUGGCAUCACCAGCACUGGAGCUAUUCCAGUGAGGAUUUUUGCUGCGGCACAUCACGGAGUGGCAUGAGAGGUCAGAGAACUCCUAGUAUCCCCCAAAUAUCCAUUCUGUUCUUCUUCCUUAGUGAUGGGCCCCCGACAUGAAACUGGCACUCAGAAUGAAGAAUGCCUUUUCCAGCCUCCCUCGCUGGUGGAGUCUCCGUGUUCCAGCCAAUGAAUCUUUAAGCAAUUUGCCAAGACGGAGAAUCUCACUGGCCUGGUGGGGCUGAGCCUUCCUUCACUGGCUGACCAACUGGGAAGUGGGCUGCUGCCUAGAUCAGGAGAAAGAAUUGUGCCAUGAAAAAUGGAAAACUCCUGAGAAGCUGUUCCAGCGUCAGGAGAGCAGCAGACAAGCUGGACUGGGGAAGAUUCUUCCUGCAAGACCUGCAGAGUGUAUGACACAUAACCAGCACCCAAGAAAUGUCUACCGAGGAAUUAAUGAAUGAGGAAAUACCUCUGUACACUCACCAGACACUGGCUGCUGGUUGUCACGGUGCUAAGAGCUGUGGGAAACAUGAAGAGCAAUGAGACCAGGUCCCUGCUCUGAGGAGACGUGUGCCAGCGAAGUUUCUCUCCCACUCUUCCUCAGGCACCAGUCUACGUUUCUAGUAAAAACUUGCUUGGCCACUUGUGUAGAAAGAGGAAUUAAUUUAAUAUUUGAAUACUCAGCUGACUGGUUCUCCAUGGGAGCAAGUAGCCAAGUAAAUAUCCAAGAGAGAACGAGGGAAGGGACAAAAUGGCACCAAGCCUGAAUUGUGAAGUCCUCUAUCAUCCUGCAACACCCUGGAUAUGCAAACCGAAUAUCCUCUCUCUUGCCCAAGAGUGGAUUGGCAGGAAGGGUGCAGGACCUAACCCAAUGACAAUGCUCGCAGGAGGAGCCCUCCAGAAGGC